rnacentral:rRNA from 1 species
UACAGAGGGGGCAAGCGUUGUUCGGAAUUACUGGGCGUAAAGGGCGCGUAGGCGGCCCGCUAAGUCGAACGUGAAAUCCCCGGGCUCAACCCGGGAACUGCGUCCGAUACUGGAAGGCUUGAAUCCGGGAGAGGGAUGCGGAAUUCCAGGUGUAGCGGUGAAAUGCGUAGAUAUCUGGAGGAAUACCGGUGGCGAAGGCGGCAUCCUGGACCGACAUUGACGCUGAGGAGCGAAAGCUAGGGGAGCAAACGGG